CCUUACUAUAAGUGUUGUCUAGAGGCUUGGUGCCAGAAGACUCGGUAAGACCAGAAACGCAAACGUUAGUCAUCUUAAUCAGGCGUAAAGGGUAUGUAGGCAGCUUUGAAAAUUUUAAUUUUAAAAAAAAUUUUUUUUUCUUUUCUAGAAAAAAGAGUAGCUCUAUUUUGUUCAAUAAAUUAAAUAGUAAAAAUAAAAUCAAUUAAAGCUAGAAUCUAAUAGAGGAAAAACCAAAUAAUACUUAGAGUAGGGAUGAUAUCCAUAGAUACUAAGGGGAAUA
rnacentral:rRNA from 1 species